UACGUAGGGGGCGAGCGUUGUCCGGAAUUACUGGGCGUAAAGGGCUCGUAGGCGGCCAACUAAGUCAGACGUGAAAUCCCUCAGCUUAACUGGGGAACUGCGUCUGAUACUGGAUGGCUUGGAUUUGGGAGAGGGAUGCGGAAUUCCAGGUGUAGCGGUGAAAUGCGUAGAUAUCUGGAGGAACACCGGUGGCGAAGGCGGCAUCCUGGACCAAUAUUGACGCUGAGGAGCGAAAGCCUGGGGAGCAAACGGG
rnacentral:rRNA from 1 species